AUAAGGGCAGGGUAUGCAUACAGCUCUGUCACAAGCAAGAAACAGAUAACUGUGCCAGUAUUUACUAAUUGCUCCUUAGAAAUGACUCAGUGAAAGCAUGUCAGCGUACAACAAAACAUAAUUUUUUUUCAAAGAAUAAUGAGACUUGCAAACAAAGCCCAUUUUUCAUCUCAGCAAAGAAUCCUAAAUCAACCAGACACAAUAUUCCAGGUUAGUUGGCUAAAGCAGCUCCCCCUGUACAUGUUUUUCCUUGUAACAGGUGUGUGAAUAUAAUGAUGAGUCUUUCCCAGUCAGAAGAAGCCAUUGGCCGGUUCAGUGAACUGAGUGACUCUAGAAUUUAUUAAGCCAAGGCCUUUCAUAGCCCAGGUAACAUUCUGCUCCACAGUUCCAUCUCCAUUUAAAGGCAUUAGAUAUACUGGGCUAUUGCCCUGCACCUUCAAACCACAGUAAAUAAAUGCAGCUAAGUGCCACCAAGAGUGAAAGAGCUUAUAAUGAGAAGUGUGAAUAGACGUCCAUGCCAUUCAUCAUUCUACUCAGUCCAAUAUUGGGGCUCGUUUUUAUCAGCGGUAUCCGAAGUAGUGUCAUCACCUCUGGUAUAAAUCUUCUGUCAGUGUCUGUCGUCUCAGUACCCUAUUAAACCCAUGCUCUCAUAUAAUC